UACAGAGGGUGCGAGCGUUAAUCGGAAUUACUGGGCGUAAAGCGUGCGCAGGCGGCGGCUCAAGUCAGGUGUGAAAUCCCCGGGCUUAACCUGGGAAUUGCGCUUGAAACUAGGUCGCUAGAGUGUGGCAGAGGGGGGUGGAAUUCCACGUGUAGCAGUGAAAUGCGUAGAGAUGUGGAGGAACACCGAUGGCGAAGGCAGCCCCCUGGGUCAACACUGACGCUCAUGCACGAAAGCGUGGGGAGCAAACAGG
rnacentral:rRNA from 1 species